UACGUAGGGGGCAAGCGUUGUCCGGAAUCAUUGGGCGUAAAGAGCGUGUAGGCGGCCAGAAAAGUCCGCUGUGAAAACUCGAGGCUCAACUUCGAGCUGUCGGUGGAAACUUUCUGGCUAGAGUCCGGAAGAGGAGAAGUAGGACUCCGGUGUAGCGGUGAAAUGCGCAGAUAUCGGGAAGAACACCCGUGGCGUAGGACGGCUGCUCUAGUACGGUACUGACGCUGAGACGCGAAAGGCGUGGGAGCGGAACAGGA
rnacentral:rRNA from 1 species